rnacentral:rRNA from 1 species
CAUGCCUUACACAUGCAAGUCGAACGGCAGCAUGGAAGAGCUUGCUCUUCUGAUGGCGAGUGGCGAACGGGUGAGUAAAGCAUCGGAACGUACCGUGUAGUGGGGGAUGACGUAGCGAAAGUUACGCUAAUACCGCAUACGCACUGAGGUGGAAAGCAGGGGAUCGCAAGACCUUGCGCUAUACGAGCGGCCGAUGUCAGAUUAGCUAGUUGGUAGGGUAAAGGCCUACCAAGGCGACGAUCUGUAGCGGGUCUGAGAGGAUGAUCCGCCACACUGGGACUGAGACACGGCCCAGACUCCUACGGGAGGCAGCAGUGGGGAAUUUUGGACAAUGGGCGAAAGCCUGAUCCAGCCAUGCCGCGUGAGUGAAGAAGGCCUUCGGGUUGUAAAGCUCUUUCGGCUGGGAAGAAAUCGCACAGGCUAAUACCCUGUGUGGAUGACGGUACCAGCACAAGAAGCACCGGCUAACUACGUG